rnacentral:rRNA from 1 species
UACGUAGGAGGCAAGCGUUAUCCGGAAUUAUUGGGCGUAAAGCGUCCGUAGGUGGCGUGUCAAGUCUGCGGUCAAAGACUGGGGCUUAACCCUGGAAAGGCCGUGGAAACUGACGAGCUAGAGUGCAGUAGGGGUAGAGGGAAUUCCCGGUGCAGCGGUGAAAUGCGUAGAGAUCGGGAAGAACAUCGGUGGCGAAAGCGCUCUACUGGACUGCAACUGACACUCAGGGACGAAAGCUAGGGGAGCGAAUGGG